rnacentral:rRNA from 1 species
CCUACGGGUGGCAGCAGUGAGGAAUAUUGGUCAAUGGGCGCGAGCCUGAACCAGCCAAGUCGCGUGAAGGAUGAAUGCCCUACGGGUUGUAAACUUCUUUUAUAAAGGAAUAAAGUGAGGCACGUGUGCCUUUUUGUAUGUAAUUUAUGAAUAAGGAUCGGCUAACUUCGUGCCCGCAGCCGCGGGAAUACGGAGGAUCCGAGCGUUAUCCGGAUUUAUUGGGUUUAAAGGGAGCGUAGGUGGGUUGUUAAGUCAGUUGUGAAAGUUUGCGGCUCAACCGUAAAAUUGCAAUUGAUACUGGCAGUCUUGAGUACAGUUGAGGUAGGCGGAAUUCGUGGUGUAGCGGUGAAAUGCUUAGAUAUCACGAAGAACUCCGAUUGCGAAGGCAGCUUACUAGACGGCCACUGACGUUGAUGCUCGAAAGUGUGGGGAUCAAACAGGAUUAGAUACCCUUGUAGUC